UGGGGAAUAUUGGACAAUGGGCGAAAGCCUGAUCCAGCCAUGCCGCGUGAGUGAUGAAGGCCCUAGGGUUGUAAAGCUCUUUCACCGGUGAAGAUAAUGACGGUAACCGGAGAAGAAGCCCCGGCUAACUUCGUGCCAGCAGCCGCGGUAAUACGAAGGGGGCUAGCGUUGUUCGGAAUUACUGGGCGUAAAGCGCACGUAGGCGGAUAUUUAAGUCAGGGGUGAAAUCCCGGGGCUCAACCCCGGAACUGCCUUUGAUACUGGGUAUCUAGAGUAUGGUAGAGGUGAGUGGAAUUCCGAGUGUAGAGGUGAAAUUCGUAGAUAUUCGGAGGAACACCAGUGGCGAAGGCGGCUCACUGGACCAUUACUGACGCUGGGGUGCGAAAGCGUGGGGAGCAAACAGGAUUAGAUACCCUGGUAGUCCACGCCGUAAACGAUGGAAGCUAGCCGUUGGCAGGUUUACCUGUCGGUGGCGCAGCUAACGCAUUAAGCUUCCCGCCUGGGGAGUACGGUCGCAAGAUU
rnacentral:rRNA from 1 species